rnacentral:rRNA from 1 species
GACAGAGGCCCCAAGCGUUAGGUGGAAUCACUGGGCUUAAAGCGUGUGUAGGCGGACGCCUAAGUGUCUUGUGAAAUCCCACGGCUCACCCGUGGAACUGCUGGGCAUACUGGGCGUCUUGGGCCAACUAGGGGCAGCCGGAACAAGCGGUGGAGCGGUGAAAUGCGUAGAUAUCGCUUGGAACGCCGAAGGUGAAAACAGGCUGGCUGGGGUUGCGCCGACGCGUGAGACACGAAAGCCAGGGGAGCAAACGGG